GGGGACGUAGCACAAUUGGUUAGUGCACCGGACUGUCGAUCCGGAGGUCGUGGGUUCGAGCCCCAUCGUCCUCGCCA
rnacentral:tRNA from 1 species